CWUSAAGACGACCAAGACUCCUGAGAAGACCAKAAGAAGAACCUCUUAGAUAUAAUGAUUAUAAUGUGGUAGAGUUCAUUCCAAUUUCUGAAUUCCUUUGCCAAUUUGUGAGCCAAUCCUCCUUACCUUGUUUGUGGAUAUCUGACUUACCUUGAUCCUGGCUUGUGGGUGACUGUUUUCUUGUUUGUCCAAUUUUUCAUCUGAGAACCUAGACCUUACCUGGGGCUUGAACCUGUACCUUCAACUUACCUCUUGCCAUGUAUCCGGUGAAUCUGUGCUGUAGACUGUCAGUGAGAUUGUUGAGGGUAAAGGUUUGAAAGAUCCUUAAGACAUAUUGCUUGUAAUGCGUGGUAUUAAUGAGCAAAUAAAAAUGUUUAUAAAUAA